AAAAUAGUUUAAUAAAAAUAUUAGCUUUGGGUGUUAAAGAUCUCUAUUAGAGUUAUCUGG
rnacentral:tRNA from 2 species